rnacentral:lncRNA from 1 species
ACGAAUCCUCAGCUGGCCGUCGAUUUGCCGUCGUCGCGAGGGGAGUGGAGGAGUAGGGGAGAAAAAAAAUUCACGUUCGUUGGAGGAGUAGGGGAGCAAAUUUCAAAUUGGGGAGAGCAAAAUCUCACCUUUCCUUUUCUAGUAGAGAAGUCUAGUGCUGUCGGGGGGAUAACCCCGAGGUAGGCUCAUCGAGCCUACUCCUUUGCCUUCAACCAAGAAGAAACAACAAGAACUAUUCUGCAAAGGCCAAGUCCCCUGGCCAGCUAGGAAGUACCUCCCGGCUGGGGGCGAACGACCAACUCUUUGGCCGGCCAGGAAGAACCUGCCGGUUAGAGGCGAGACGGCUACCUCCCCCUGGCCGCCUAGGCCAAGCAGCCGGCUAGGGGCGAGACGGCCGAGCCUAGGCCGGCAAGUCAAGCGACUAGCCGGCUAGGGAGCACAAGUCACAUCAGACCGUAGGUCAUAACAAGACCCUACGGUUAAAGGUGGCUACACGUCAGCAAAGGUACUGGAUUGGGAUGCACGACAGGUACAAGCGGCGGCGGCCACGACGCUGACCUCCUCCGGCUCUGAUCCAUCACCCUGCACAGUGUCGGCCCGUCAAACUCCCACUCCAUUACUGCACUCGGCGUGGGAACAGUGGAGACGGCCGUACUGCCUGUCCAUGACGAUCCUCGCUGGACGACGCCGGACGUACCACACGUGCCCUGCGUCAACCUUACGCGAGAACCUUAGCGUCUAGCCGGCGGGUCCCACAGCCAGACGGGACCUCGCAGCCGGCGGGCCCCUCCAGCGACAAGACAAGACCCUGUGUGCCCCUUGGCCAGCCGGCGAGGCUGCCAGCCGGGCCACACUCUUAUACCUUUUAUCCAUAUUGUAGGUCGGUGGGUUUGUCUAUAAAACCUCCCGCCCCCCUCCAUGAAGAGGGUCG